rnacentral:rRNA from 1 species
UACGGGGGGAGCAAGCGUUGUUCGGAUUUACUGGGCGUAAAGGGCGCGUAGGCGGUCAGCACAAGUCAGUUGUGAAAUCUCCGGGCUUAACCCGGAAAGGUCAACUGAUACUGUGCGACUAGAGUGCGGAAGGGGCAACUGGAAUUCUCGGUGUAGCGGUGAAAUGCGUAGAUAUCGAGAGGAACACCUGCGGCGAAGGCGGGUAGCUGGGCCGACACUGACGCUGAAGCGCGAAAGCUAGGGGAGCGAACGGG